GCCAUGUUGGCCAGGCUGGUCUCGAACUCCUAACCUCAGCGGAUUCACCCACCUCCGCCUCCUAAAGUGCUGGGAUUACAGGCAUGAGCCACCGCGCCCGGCCAGGAGCACUGGACUGCAGACCAAGAGCUCUGGCUCCGGAAACUGGAGGCAUCCCUCUCCAUCCAAGACUGGCCUGCCAAGCUGCCUGCUUAGAAGGACUUUGGAAGCAAGACAGAGCAGUGUCUUCAUCAGAUACCUGCCAAGCUUUUGCAGCUGUUCCUGGAAGGAGACCCAGUUGAAAGGGGUUGUUAUGGACCAGGAACAGCUGGGAUCUUUAAUGAUCUGUGAGCAGCUUACAGCAAAGUUCCAACACCCUGAGUAUCAGUCCCCAAAUCCUUGGUCUUUGCAUUCCAACACAAAGUAAAAAGGAUUGAGCAGGGUUUUGGUUUUGGUUGCAAGUAACAGAAACCCAACGCUAAUUAAUAAACGGGAAAGUGUGUCAGUGGAAAUGUAAGUAAGAAGAGAUUUCAUUUACUGGCCAAUUCAAAAGAUGACAAGCUUUAGGCGUGGCUCAGUCCAGUGGCUCAUGAUGUCUUCAGGACUCAGUGUUUCUCUGUUGUCAUCUCUUAGUUCUAUUAUUUUUUCUGUGUUGGUUCAUUAUGAGGUUUCCUUUAGAGGGUGGCAGAGAAAGCCACUAGUUGCUUCAAGUCUUUAUUUUACCAGCUCCACAAGUCCGACGGAAAGAGAAAACUGCUUUCCCAAAGGGUGUAAGAGGAUGAAAGGCAUGUCAUCAGCUGAAUUGCAUCAGGUGUCCAUCUUGGAAUCAAUCACGGUGCCUCUUAUUAGCAAAGCCUGAGUCAUAGCAAGAAAACAGGGACCUUAAUCUUACGACCACAAGGAACUGGACUCUGCUACCAGAAUGAGCUGCAAGGGAGAUUCUUCCUCAGAAGCUUCAGAUAAGAACUCCACCUGGCUGACCUUUGAUUUUGGUUUUGUGAGAACUUUGGCAGAUAACCCAGGCAUGUGUCAUUUCACAUCUGCAUAAAAAGACAUGCUGAAGGAUGUUCCUUGCAGAAUGGUUAUAGAGAAAAAUGGGAAUAACCACGAUAUAAAGUAACAGUCUGCUAUUUUAGGAAGUGGAUAAAAUGGCAUUUUGACAGAUCUGGAGGGUCUUGGAUCUACCUUUCAACAUUGGCAUUACUGAUAUUAGAGUACCACCACUCACUAGCUGUGGAGAUGUAGGAAGAUUACUUAACCACUCAGAGCCUUGGUUUCCUCAUUUGUUAUGUGAAGAUGACAAUAUCAGAUGACAGUGAGAUCUGAGAUGAAUUUAACUGCCUUCAGUAGUGCUGGCCUGCUCCUGAGAGAGAGAUGAUUGAGAGGGAGGAAGUAGAGAGGAGGAAGAAGCCUUUACUCACACUCCUUGAGGAGUGAUUCAGGUGGACAGCCUGAAUUACGGGAUUUAUUGGCAGCAAGUAAGUAUUGUCUGAGUGGAUUACUGCAAAAUGCUUUAGCUGGGGAUGGCUUUGAAAACCACUCAUCAAUUACAGAUGGUACCCAGUAUAGCAGCAGGAGUACCCUUGCGGGCUUUUGUUAUCUCCGACCUCUUCCUUCAUGGGUGACCGUUCUAACCCAAAGACCUCAACUGUUCAUCAAAAACCUGCCACUCAGAACUGCAUAUCAAUUAUUAAACAAUGUCCCAUGCAGGACAGUGACUUUAAAUUAUCUUGGAAAUGAUAAAGACCAACAUUUGUCUUUGUUAACAUGCUGAGUGAUUCUGUGGUCUCUAGUCACAGGUGAAAGGAUCAGAUUUGAGAUUUCUAGACACCAGAAUCACAUUAGGGUUAAGCAAAACUCCAUCUUUUCCCAGAGAAAAUUUAGCCAGAAAUGUUGCUUAUUUGAGAUGAGAAGUAAGAUGAAGUGUUCUAACAUGGCGGAGCUUGAUAUGCAAAUGAGCCCAUCUAGGGACAGUAGGGAUUGGUAAUGUGGGUCUGUGGAUGCCUGGAAGGCUCACAGAAAGACUUCAGGAAUUCCUGAGUCUCUUCAAAGUGUAAGCAAAAUUUUGUGUGUAUUUUCUUAUUUGCAUGAUAUGGCUUGGCUGUGUCCCCACCCAAACCUUAUCUCGAAUUGUAACUCCCACAAUUCCCACAUGUCGUGGAAGGAUCCUGGUGGGAUUCAUUAUGGGGGCAGGUCUUUCCAGUGCUGUUCUCAUGAUAGUGAAUGAGUCUCACAAUAUCUGAUGGUUUUAAAAACAGGAGUUUCUUUGCACAAGCUCUCUUUCUACCGCUGCCUCCAUGUAAGAUGUGACUUGCUCCUCCUUGCCUUCCACCAUGAUUGUGAGGCCUCCCCAUCCACGUGGAACUGCGAGGCCAAUUGAACUCCUUUCUUUUGUAAAUUGUCCAGUCUCAGGUAUGUCUUUAUCAGCAGUGUGAAAAUGGGCUAAUACAGUGCAUUUAUUUUUUUGAAGCAUGUCCAUACUUUCCAUUGGAUUCUCAAAGGGAUUCAGGACCUGGAAACUUUUUGAAAUACUGCUCCAUAGUAAAUGGCACAAAUCUCUCUGAAUCAAGGAUGUCUCUAGCCUUAGGCAAAGCUAGGUUGAAGGACAGAACAGAGAGUCAGCCUCUGGAGUGCCCUCUAUAAGGAAAAAGAAAACAUUACUAGAGUAAGUUGAUAAAGUAUAAAUUCAUCUCACUCCUACUGGACACUGCCCUUGAGUGAAAUUAAAAACUGAAAAAUUUUUGACAUAUCUUUUGAGCAUUUUUGUAAAAUACGCAUGUAGCUAUGGCCAAAAUUCUGGAAUAAAAUGGUACAUAUAGCCUUAGGUAUCCUGGCUCUGUUUCUUAAAGGAGUCAUAUUUACAGAAUUGCAGUUGUCCAGGUGCAGUGGCUCACGCCUGUAAUCCAAACAAUUUGGGAGGCCCAAGCAGGUGGAUCACUUGAAGUCAGGAGUUUGAGACCAGCCUGGUCAACAUGGUGAAACCCCAUCUCUAGUAAAAAUACAAAAAAAAAAUUAGCCGGGCAUGGUGGCGGGCACCAGUAAUCCCAGCUACUGGGGAGGCUGAGGCAGGACAAUUGCUUGAACCUGGGAGGCAGAGGUUGGGAGGUUGCAGUGACCCUAGAUAGCACCAUUGCACUCCAGCCUGGAUGACAGAGCGAGAUUCCAUCUCAAAAAAAAAGAAAGAAAGAAAGAAAGAAUUACAGUUGAUUAGCCACAAAUAAUUUCUAAAAUGUUUUUGCUCACAUCUCUCAUAAAAAUAAAAGAAUAUCCAUGUCCUGUCUUAUUUCUUAUAGCUGCCAGUACACCCCCCAGUUUCCUCUUAUAACUGUUUCAUCCAGAAUCCUUCACAUGGUUACCCUUCACUUUCUCUAUUCCAGUCCAGGUUGCUUAUUUUCUUUUCUCUGGCCUUCUCCCUGUUGCUUUGCUCUUCAUCGUGUAGAUUGAUUUAGUUGUUUUGGCUCAGUCCUUCCUUCUGUCUUCUGUUUCU
rnacentral:lncRNA from 1 species